rnacentral:piRNA from 1 species
GGACUUGUGUGAAGAUGGAUCAGGUGUGA